GGGGGUGUAGCUCAGCUGGGAGAGCACCUGCUUGCAAGCAGGGGGUCAGGAGUUCGAUCCUCCUCAUCUCCACCA
rnacentral:tRNA from 1 species